CGGUCUGUCAGUCGGAUGUGAAAUCCCCGGGCUCAACCUGGGAACUGCAUCCGAAACUGGCAGGCUUGAGUCUCGUAGAGGGGGGUAGAAUUCCAGGUGUAGCGGUGAAAUGCGUAGAGAUCUGGAGGAAUACCGGUGGCGAAGGCGGCCCCCUGGACGAAGACUGACGCUCAGGUGCGAAAGCGUGGGGAGCAAACAGGAUUAGAUACCCUGGUA
rnacentral:rRNA from 1 species